GGGCUUGACAUCCCACGAACCUGCCCGAAAAGGUGGGGUGCCCGCAAGGAAGCGUGGAGACAGGUGGUGCAUGGCUGUCGUCAGCUCGUGUCGUGAGAUGUUGGGUUAAGUCCCGCAACGAGCGCAACCCUCACCCCUAGUUGCCACCGGGUUAAGCCGAGCACUCAAGGGGAACUGCCAGCGUCAAGCUGGAGGAAGGCGGGGAUGACGUCGAGUCAUCAUGCCCCUUACGCCCUGGGCUACACACGUGCUACAAUGGCCAGUACAAAGGGACGCGAGACUGCGAAGUGGAGCUAAUCCCAAAAAGCUGGUCUAAGUUCAGAUUGCAGUCUGCAACUCGACUGCAUGAAGGAGGAAUCGCUAGUAAUCGCGCAUCAGCCCGGCGCGGUGAAUACGUUCCCGGGCCUUGUACACACCGCCCGUCACACCACGAAAGCUGUCUGUACUCGAAGUCGCUGAG
rnacentral:rRNA from 1 species